rnacentral:rRNA from 1 species
AUGCAGAAGUUGCUUUUCGGCCUUCUUAUGGCCUCGAGAAAGCUGUGUCACUAUUUCCAAGCGCAUGAGAUCACCGUCGUCAUGCGCCUCCCGUUGCAGCGAAUCUUGCACAACCCGGAUGCAACUGGGAGGAUUGUGGAGUGGGCGUUGGAACUAUCAAGCUUUGGACUCAAGUUUGAAGGCACUUCGACAAUCAAGAGUAGUGCCUUUGUAGAGUAUACAGCGAAAUGGACUUCCACGCCUGAUGAAGAAGUUCAAGAGACCACUCUUCCCGGCAAAGAUGCAAGUAGUCAUUGGAUUAUGUACUUUGAUGGGGCUUUCUCACUACAGGGUGCUGGUGCCAGUGUGCUACUCAUUGCGCCCACCAAAGAGCGCCUCAAGUACGUGGUCCAGAUGCACUUUCCUCGGGAAAGGUCAACGAACAACACUGCAGAGUACGAGGGGCUGCUUGCCGGUCUCAGGAUCGCGGCGGACCUCGGAAUCAGAAAGCUCAUCAUCAAGGGUGAUUCGCAGCUUGUUGUCAAACAAGUCAACAAGGAUUAUCAGAGCCCGCUGAUGGAGGCCUACGUCGAUGAAGUGAGGAAGUUGGAAGAGCGCUUUGAUGGUCUACAAGCAGAGCAUGUUCCUCGAGCAGAGAACAACAUUGCCAAUGACCUGUCAAAACGCGUUGCCUAUGGAACUAGAUACCUUCGUGCUUCAGUUAACCCUGCCAUCCGUUGA